GAUUCCGCAGAGCAAGCCACCCCUAUUUCAAGCACUGACGCCAAACACCCCGGUAUCUUCUCCUCCGUCUCCAUCUCCAUCUCCAUCGUCCUUCUUCUGUCCCGUUCUUCAUCACCCCUUUCCUCUUCCAUGAGAAGAAAUGGGUCUAUUAUCAUCCCAAGUUUCCCCACCAAAGCAGCAGCCUUAACAUAUUCAUGGAGAUUCAUACCGUCUCUGAACAUUCCAUCUGUAGGUCUUCUCAUUGUAAACAUUUCCAGCAUUAAUAUUCCAAAACUGUAUACAUCCCCUUGCUCCCACACCGCCCUCCCCAUCCCAUAUUCUGCACCAAUAAUGUAAAAAAAGGGGUUUUCUUUGUUUAUAAUAUCUUGGAAUAAUGGCAGAAAUCAUAAUAGAGUAUAUCAGUAAUGUCACAGAGGAGUCUGAAUUUUACCUGGAGCAGCAUAACCAACGGUUCCCUUUACCACAACUGUGCUGCUGCAGCUAUUUUGAGAAAUUGGGUCAUCUCGUAGUCUUGCCUGCCCAAAAUCACUGACAUGAGCCACCAUCUCACCAUCCAAUAGAACAUUGCUCGGCUUCAGAUCGCAGUGAACGAUUCGUAUUUCGCAAAGAUCGUGGAGAUAGUGCAGCGCGGUUGCCACGUCUAUGACAAUGUUCAGCCUUUGUAACAUGCUCAAGUUUUUUUUGUGUUGAUGCAGCCAAUCCGCCAAGCUUCCAUUCUCCAUGUACUCAAACACUAGAGCCUUGAAUUCAUUGCCUCUAUUGUCCAAACUAGAACAGAAAGACACAACCUUUACAAGAUUCCGGUGACGAACAUUCCUCAAUGCGUUGCAUUCCGCUGCUAAGCUCUUACAGGCUUGGUUUCUUUGAAGGUCAAGUACCUUAACAGCUACUGGUUUUUGAACUUGUUUCAGCUUUCCUUUGUAGACAGUACCAUACCCACCAGAACCAAGUAAGUUGUUUGAAGAGAACCCAUCAGUUGCUUCAUCAAGUUCUCUGUAAGAAACUCUCAGAAAUUGCUCAUGAAUUCCAUCUUCAGAAACUGAUUCAGCCUUCCUUAAUCUUCUGUGCAUGUAAAAUGAUACAACUGCU
rnacentral:lncRNA from 1 species